GCAUGGAUUAGGUAUCUUGACGUCAUGGAUUUGCUGCAUUUUAGUGCACUUGUGCUUGAGUUAUUCUCAGGAUCUUUUAUUUUUAUCUGUCUGCAUUUGGAGUUCGCCGCGUCCCUAACAUCAAUGAAAUGUCACUUUUCUACAGGGAUUGCACAUUUGUCUACUCAGCAAUAACUACUCCUGAUUUUAAUAGGACUUCACCCUCAAAUAAAUAUUUAUAUAGGGUUGCAAUCCACUAAAGAGAGGAUGUAACUCAGUGUUUUAGCCAUCUGGCUGUGGAGCCAAAGGUUCGGUUCGGCACUCUGCCUCCUUGCCAGGGGCUGAACUUGAUCCAUAGGCUCCCUACCAGCCCUGCAGUUCUAAAUUGAUGAACGGAUGAUGCUGAUGCUUAGUAAGCAUCCUAACAUUUUUUCCGUGUAUCAUAUAAUACAACGUGGUAUGUCAUCUUUCCAGUAAGAAUUCGAGCCUAAGGGCUUUUUGUCUUAAACAAUCGGCCGUCUUUGCCAUUCUUUAAUUUGCUAAGAAUUCAGCAGUUUAUAUUUCAGUGACACUGUCUCUUUAACGACGGGCGGAGGCAACCCUCGAGCGAGCACUCGGCUUCUUCUCCCCUUCACAAAUAUGGCUAACUUGUUCUUUCCGCUCUCUUAUCCGCCCAACGCAAAGAGCGUCGGGACAAAAAGGUCACUCGCGCGCAACUACGUCGCCCGUUACCCAAGUCCUGUGACCUGCCGACCAAUGAAGUGACAGAUGGAACAACGGAGGGGAGGGGCCGUUCGCACUGAUUGUGAUUCGGAGACAGACGAUCACGUGAAGGCAGGUUCUUUGUUGCUGGAGGUAAUAGUUGAGCGAGUGGUACAGUAUAUAGAUAAUUCAGAAGGUGAGCUCAUUUGUCUUAAAAAUGUGGAUGUGCCCUUCACCAGACAAAGAAGAUACAAUUUUUAAAAUCCUACCUUGGCAUAUGUUUCAGAAGAUCUCAAGCAUACAAUUUCUUUAGAAAGCAAGAUACAGAAGCCUGUCUAUGAUUGUAUAGUUCUAAUGCACUCUGAAAUGGAGUUCACUGACUGACAGCCAGCCCUUUGUCAGUAGAGAUGAAGAGACACAAUUGAUUCUACUCCCCUGAGCUGAAAUCGAUACCAUAUAUCUCAAGGUUGCUCUUUAAAUUUUUAGUUUCCAUUUUGAAAUAUUGUAUAACUACAAAUGCUGUAGCUUUAAUAGUUUACCUGGUUCGACUUUUCUAUUUCUUCUUCCAUUUCACAGUCUGUAAUGCCCAGCAUGAUGAUGAGUCUUCAAGGACUCAAAAGCAAUCCCUUUCAAUUAUAUGUUAUAAGUCAGUUAAACACACUGCUGGGCCCUGAGUUUGACUUUUAGCCAUGGGACGCAUGGCUGUGGGUUUUUUUCUUUUGAUUUUGUUUUUCUUUUGCAGCACCAUUAAGAAAAAUAUAAAGGAAGAACAAAUGGAAAUGUUGCUGAUAGAGGAAAAAUGCCAUGCUUCCAGUUCUGCUAUACUCCAUUCACUUCUGUUCUGAAGCAAUUCUAGUCUUUCCAGGAAGAAAUAAAGAUUGUGUUUGAGGAAGAGAAGGCA
rnacentral:lncRNA from 1 species